AGAGUUUGAUCCUGGCUCGAGGACGAACGCUGGCGGCGUGCUUAACACAUGCAAGUCGAACGGGGAUACAUUGGAUGAGAGCUUCGGCAGGAUUCCGGCGUAUUCUAGUGGCGGACGGGUGAGUAACGCGUGAGCAACCUGUCCCAGACAGGGGGAUAACACUUGGAAACAGGUGCUAAUACCGCAUAAGACCACGGCGAGGCAUCUUGCUGAGGUAAAAGGUGAAAACCGGUUUGGGGUGGGCUCGCGUCCGAUUAGGUAGUUGGUGGGGUAACGGCUCACCAAGUCAACGAUCGGUAGCCGACCUGAGAGGGUGAUCGGCCACAUUGGAACUGAGAGACGGUCCAAACUCCUACGGGAGGCAGCAGUGGGGAAUAUUGGGCAAUGGGCGAAAGCCUGACCCAGCAACGCCGCGUGAGUGAAGAAGGCUUUCGGGUUGUAAAGCUCUGUUAUAGGGGACGAAGGAAGUGACGGUACCCUAUAAGGAAGCCCCGGCUAACUACGUGCC
rnacentral:rRNA from 1 species